AUUGAACGCUGGCGGCAUGCCUAACACAUGCAAGUCGAACGGGGGCAGCAAUGCCCUAGUGGCGGACGGGUGAGGAAUACGUAGGAACCGGCCCACGAGUGGGGGACAACCUGGGGAAACCCAGGCUAAUACCGCAUACGCUCGCGAGAGGAAAGCGGGGGACCUUCGGGCCUCGCGCUGGUGGACGGGCCUACGUCCGAUUAGCUAGUUGGUGGGGUAAAAGCCUACCAAGGCGACGAUCGGUAGCUGGUCUGAGAGGAUGAUCAGCCACACUGGGACUGAGACACGGCCCAGACUCCUACGGGAGGCAGCAGUGGGGAAUAUUGGACAAUGGGCGCAAGCCUGAUCCAGCAAUGCCGCGUGGGUGAAGAAGGCCUGCGGGUUGUAAAGCCCUUUAAGCCGGGGAGGAAAGCCGGGGGUGUGGAAUAGCGCCUCGGGGUGACGUUACCCGCAGAAUAAGCACCAGCUAACUCCGUG
rnacentral:rRNA from 1 species